rnacentral:lncRNA from 1 species
GGGUUGCUGACGUACACAGGUUGUAUGAAUAGAGGCCUGAAAUGACAACUGGUGGAUCAGAGCUGAGGACUGCCCAGGGGCACAGGCAGAGCUGGAAGCAGGCUCUCCCAAGCUUCCCUGAGCAGGGUCUGGCAGCACAGAGCAAGACCAGAACAUAGCCCUGUGCCAUAGGCAGGUACCAGUGCAAGCCCAGUGAGGCCUGGUGCUUCUUGGACCAGCUGCAAACCACCCACACAUUAUCAGAAACAGGUGAACUCAUUAGACUUUCUGAUUUAAGCUUUUCCUCUGUAUUUUCUAAGAUAGAAAUACUUUGCAAUGGAGCAAGGCCUCCUUCCUUUCCUUCUCCAGGGCACAACCUGUUCUCCAGUUGUUAAAUUAAGAAGACAGAUGUGUCAGGUUUGGAGAUUCAUUCCUCCAGUACCUGGGAAGCUAUAAACUGAAAUGGCACAUACAAUAACAGGAGUGCUUGCCUGAGAACUUACUCUAGAGAGGUUCCACUCAGAGAGUUAGUGGAGUCUCCCUUGGAGGUAUUCAAGUCUCACCUGGAUGCUUUCCUGUGUGACCGACAAUAGGGAGCCUGCUUUGGAAAGGGGUGGACAAGAUGGUCUC